rnacentral:tRNA from 1 species
GGGUGUAUGGCUCAAGUGGUACAGUGACUGCUUCGUAAGCAUGAGACCCUGAGUUCAAACCACAGUACAACCU